UCUUGAUUCUGAGGAUGAGAGGUUAAAUAGCUUUGCACCAACUUCUGUAAUGGUACGCUCAUGUUUUGCUGGGGUCGAGGUCGUUAUCAACAGUGGUUUUGGGAAGCAAGUUUUGCACCUUUCAAGAGCACUGGAAUUGCUACUAGAAGAAGGGCUAGAUGUUUUUAGUUGCAUUUCCACCCGAGUAAAUCAAAGAGUUAUCCAUACCAUUCAAUCUGAGGUGAGCUACAUGACAUGCAUUGAUAUAUCUGAGCUGCAAAAUAAACUAAUUGAAGCAAUUCCUUCAACAAGUACUGAAAAUUCCAAUUAAUUAACAAUAUAUCCAUACAUGUUCAUUAGGAAUUAAAUCCUCCAGCACAAAGGGCAUCAUCUGAUUAAUUUUCAUUUCAUGAAAGCUUGAGGUUGGUUCUGUUCAUUUUUGUAUGAAUAUAAAAAUAUUGCACCCAAUCUGUUUGUAAGAUACUGAUUAGCUGGACUGCGAC
rnacentral:misc_RNA from 1 species